rnacentral:rRNA from 1 species
GAUGAACGCUGGCGGCGUGCCUAAUACAUGCGAGUCGAGCGAACAGACGAGGAGCUUGCUUCUCUGACGUUAGCGGCGGACGGGUGAGUAACACGUGGAUAACCUACCUAUAAGACUGGGAUAACUUCGGGAAACCGGAGCUAAUACCGGAUAAUAUAUUGAACCGCAUGGUUCAAUAGUGAAAGACGGUUUUGCUGUCACCUAUAGAUGGAUCCGCGCCGCAUUAGCUAGUUGGUAAGGUAACGGCUUACCAAGGCAACGAUGCGUAGCCGACCUGAGAGGGUGAUCGGCCACACUGGAACUGAGACACGGUCCAGACUCCUACGGGAGGCAGCAGUAGGGAAUCUUCCGCAAUGGGCGAAAGCCUGACGGAGCAACGCCGCGUGAGUGAUGAAGGUCUUCGGAUCGUAAAACUCUGUUAUUAGGGAAGAACAAAUGUGUAAGUAACUAUGCACGUCUUGACGGUACCUAAUCAGAAAGCCACGGCUAACUACGUG